UAGAGUUUGAUCAUGGCUCAGGAUGAACGCUGGCGGUAUGCCUAACACAUGCAAGUCGUACGAGAGUUUUUAACUCAAGUGGCGGACGGGUGAGUAACACGUGAGAAUUUGCCUUUAGGAGGGGGACAACAGCUGGAAACGGUUGCUAAUACCCCAUAUGCUUUCGAGUGAAAUGGAUUUAUCCGCCUAGAGAGAAGCUCGCGGCUGAUUAGCUUGUUGGUAGGGUAAGAGCCUACCAAGGCGACGAUCAGUAUCUGGUUUGAGAGGACGAUCAGACACACUGGAACUGAGACACGGUCCAGACUCCUACGGGAGGCAGCAGUGGGGAAUUUUCCGCAAUGGGCGAAAGCCUGACGGAGCAAUACCGCGUGAGGGAAGACGGCCUAUGGGUUGUAAACCUCUUUUUUCAGGGAGGAAUUUUGACGUGUACCUGAAGAAUAAGCAUCGGCUAACUCCGUGCCAGCAGCCGCGGUAAGACGGAGGAUGCAAGUGUUAUCCGGAAUCACUGGGCGUAAAGCGUCUGUAGGUGGUUAAGCAAGUCAACUGUUAAAUCUUGAGGCUCAACUUCAAAAUCGCAGUCGAAACUGUUUGACUAGAGUAUAGUA
rnacentral:rRNA from 1 species